CAGCCGCCGCGGGAAUACGUAGAGUGCAAGCGUUAAUCGGAAUUACUGGGCGUAAAGCGUGCGCAGGCGGUUAUAUAAGACAGAUGUGAAAUCCCCGGGCUCAACCUGGGAACUGCAUUUGUGACUGUAUAGCUAGAGUACGGCAGAGGGGGAUGGAAUUCCGCGUGUAGCAGUGAAAUGCGUAGAUAUGCGGAGGAACACCGAUGGCGAAGGCAAUCCCCUGGGCCUGUACUGACGCUCAUGCACGAAAGCGUGGGGAGCAAACAGGAUUAGAUACCCCAGUAGUCCCUGUCUCUUAUAC
rnacentral:rRNA from 1 species